GGGGCUCGGAGAGGUGGCCGACAGCUUGGAGAAGUUGGAUCCAGUGGCGAGGGAAAGAGGGGGAUCGGAGGCAGCCGGAGGGAGGCAGGUCAGGUCCUUGGGGAGGCGGGUCGAGGGCUUAGGGAGGUAGGAGAAGGUUGGGGCUUGGAGAGGCAGGAGGCAAAUGGGGCCUCAUGGCCCAGGGCUCGAGGAGGUGAGAGACGGUCGAGGGCUCGGAGAGGUGACUGGGGGCU
rnacentral:lncRNA from 1 species